rnacentral:rRNA from 1 species
AACGAACGCUGGCGGCAUGCCUAACACAUGCAAGUCGAACGGCACCUUCGGAUCUAGUGGCUCACACGUGCGUCACGCGUGGGACCCUGCCCUUAGGCUCGGAAUUCCACCUCGUAAGGGGUGCUAAUACCGGGUAAUGUCUUCGGAUCAAACAUUUAUCCCCUUUGGAUGGGCCGGAGUUGUAUUAGCUUGUGGGUAGGGUAAAAGCCUACCAAGGCGUCGAUCCAUAGCUGGUCUGAGAGGAUGGUCAGCCACACUGGGACUGAGACACGGCCCGGACUACUACAGGAGGCAGCAGUGGGGAAUACAGGAAAAUCGGCGAAAGCAAGAACCAGCAAGGCCUCGAGAGUGAUUAAGGCCGGAGGGAAGAAAAGCACGUUUACACGGGAUGAUAAUGACAGUACCGAAAGAAUAAGCUCCGGCUAACUUCGUG